UCCAUACUACGGAAGUUUUUUCUUUUCAAUGCAUACUAUAUUGAGAAUGUUGUUGCUAAUACGUCUAGUAUAAGGAAAUAACUGAGAUGAAGAAAUCAAUUAUUUUUCCUGAAAUGAGAAGAAGCUCCGGGGAAAUCAGGAGAUUCAGACAUUUCAAAUGAGUAUAAAAAUUUAUUGCAAGAUUACGCUAUCUACAUGAAUCUGACCAACUAACAAUCAAGGGAAAUGAACGGGAGAUAAAAGAGGCAUUCAAGAAUUCUCUUGUUACUGUGCUAUUUAUUUGGGAAUGUUGGAACCAACUGAGUGUGGAAGAACACUGUGUAAUAAAAGACAAAAAAAAUCUUGUGUCCUGUUAAUAAAAAAAGUAUUGUAAUCUAA